UUAUUAUUAUUAUUACUAUUACUACUAGUACUAUUAAAAAUAGGCCUAACUAAUACCAUAUCCCAUACUAUACUAAACUCUGUAUUCACCUGAUAUUAGUAUUGAAAUCCAGUAAUUAGAAGAUUAAGACAACAACAAACUUAAUGCAUAUUAAUGUAACAAUGGUGACUUUUGUGGGGAGGUGGCUGCUUCAGUAGUGGAAAUGGUCUACAUUUUCUAACAUUACACCAUUAAGCUGUAUUUCUGGCUUUGCAGAGGGAUUGGCUGGUGCCUACUGAAAGAGCACUUUGAUUUUCUCGAUGUUCCGUAAGAGGCCAAGCUUUUCGUAUAUCUCUAAAAGGGGUUUGGAGUGGCUGUGGUAGAAUAUGAACAAGGUUAUAAAGACUUUUUUUUUUUUUGCAAACUGAUAGGCAAGAUUGUCUCAAUCCCCCAUACUAUGAUUAGCGGGGACAAGAGACAGGGCCUUCUCAGUUGUGGCCCCUCAGCUAUGGAAUUCCCUCCCCAGGGAUAUUAGAUCAGCCCCUUCCGUCUUGACCUUCCGUCAGAGAGUAAAAACAUGGCUUUUGACCAAACCUUUGGAGAACUUGUGCAAUAGAUAGAUAUGGAAUAACGUGCAAUGACUAUAGGAAUGGCCCAGAUUACACUUGUGGAUUACCUAAUUGUGAUUGUAUUGUUUUAAGUGUUUCUAAUUGUUUUAAUGUAUUUUAUUAUUCUAUUUAAAUAUUAAUUUUAAUUUACAUUGUUUUUAAGGCAUCAAAUAGUUGCCUAUGUGUAAAGCCGCCUUGAGUCCCCUUCGGGUUAGAGAAAGGCGGGGUAGAAAUGUCAUAAAUGAAUAAAUAUGUACCUAUAAGAUCAAAACUAAAUGUUUUUUCAGAUUUUACUCACAUAUUUCAUAAUGUUUUGUUUUAUAUCCAGAAUGAGGUAUAUGUGGCUUUUCAGAUAUGAGAUUUCAACUCCCUCAUCCUUCACCAUUUGCCUUUGCUGGUUAAAGACUGGUUAAAGACUGAUGGAAGGUGAGUCUCGAAAUCUCUGGUGAGUUACACAUUUCCUACUUUAUGUUCUUAUAUUUCGUUCCUUUCACUUUUCUAUGUGUGCUUUUUAUCAGCAGCAUCUAUCAAUUUCUAAACCUGGCAAGAUGAUUUUCCUUGAAUUUCAAACAAAACUAGAUCUGCUUUUAAGAAGUCCUGUUUUUCAGGACUUGUGUUAUCAUUCAAAUUGAGAUAGAAUUAUUUCAUUAAAAGUUUACAAGUGUGAUAGUUUUAUCUUCGAGAAGAACAGUUCUCUGAAGUCAAAAGUCUCUGUUUCCUGCUAAGUAUAAAAAUGCAUGUUAUCAGAAAAUGUCCACUGAUAAUUCUGGAAAUUUCAUUCUGAUGUUGAACCUCCUGUUCUAUAUCCACAUUGUUCAACUUACCUCAUGUCCUGAUGUCAGUAUCAUCUGAUGUUCCUUGCUAAUGGGUUAAUGAUUUGAGAAUAUGAGGUUAAGCUGAAUUACAUACUACUGGUCAGAAGGAAGAUUGUUUUGAUACCAUUGUCUUUGAUAAAUGAUAAUUUAGGCCCAGCGCUUUGGAAUAUCAGUGAAACAUUACUUUAAAACUGUGUUGUCGGAGGCUUUCAUGGCCGGGAUCACAGGGUUGUUGUAUGUUUUCUGGGCUGUGUGGCCAUGUUCUGGAAUAAUACUUCUGGAACAUGGCCAUACAGCCCGGAAAACAUACAACAACCCUACUUUAAAACUGGUUAUCAAACUGUGGAGCACAAUGCUCAAGGGGAAAGUAUCAUAGUUCCUUAAAGAAAGGUGCAAGAAUUUUUCAAACAUAAUAAUUAAAUUACAGAGGCCCUCAACUUUUGUGUAGAUUAGAAACAUGACACUUCCACAAAAGAAGAAAAAAAAUGUGAAUAUCUUUAGAGCCUGGCUGUGCACAUGUUCCUUUGUGCAUUCAUUUGGGGUGGAAGGGGGUUGAAUAAGGGAGCAAGAGGAGAGAGGGCAAUUUAAGGAAAAGGAAAGGAUGGUAGAAGAGAGGGUGCUCUUCUCAAUUAAGUGUUCUGCAGACUGCUCUGAAUUUCCAGCACCAAGUAAGGGUCUUUUCUAAUUGCCUCAACUGCCCCUCCCACCCUCCUACCCUCCUCCUCACAUGCGCACAUGCUGGAGAAAAAGAAGGAGCCCUAAGCUUACUUAAAAGAUGGUUGUAUUUAUCAUCUUCUCAUCUUCCUUUCUCUCCCCACCCAUUUGUAAAGUUUCCACACUGCAGAUUGUUCAGUCACACUUGAGGAAGCAAGAUCUAUGUGCCGCUUCCUUAUCUGGAACUGGGAUAGGAAGGAGAGUAGAGAGAUUGAGAAAGGCAAUACAAUGGAGACAGUACUGAACAUAUCUUUCCAAAAGACUAAAUUAAGUGGAAAGAGGGGCAAGUAGUGUAGUAGUGAAGAAGAAUGAGAUGUAGGAGCCAAGGAAACAAAUAGGGAAGGCGGGGAGGGGAAUGCAUAAGAAUUAGGUAGGUAAGUGCUUGAGAGCACAUGUGGGAGCUCAUCCCAAAUUCUUUCUCCCCUCCUCCUUGCAACAUUUUUCCAUUCUCCUCUUCCAGUUGAGUCAGCCUGGUGACUGCUUCUACUACCAUCCUCAUACAUGCAGUGAGAAAACUUCCAUUCUUCCUCUUUCUCCAGCCUUCCAAGGCCAGGUUGCAAGGCGCUAGAACUUACCCUUUCUACUGGCUUCUUUGGCUCUUUUAUUCAUAGACUAUGUUGAGCAGGGGGGAAGGGUUUGAAAGGAAUUACUGCAUUUAAUGUACAGGAAGGUCACAUGUAAAAAGCUUAAGAACCACUGCUUAAAAAUGUAUUCCAUGUUAACAUUAGUUGCAAAUGGUUAUACAUGUGUAUGUUUGUUGCUAUAUUAACAUAUGUUGGUAUAUUAACAUCAGACUGGCACCUUCAUUGUCCACCUUCCGUAAGGAAUUAAAAAUGUAGAUGUUCUGGUGCGCAUUUGAGUGAAUAGUCUUGCCAGUUGGCAAAUGGUUUACAAUUCCUGUUGCACUUUAUCCCUGAUCCUUACUUUUGGCCUUUUAGAUUACAGUGUCUUGAUGAGACCGUCCUCCUUGCCCCUAUCCUGGAUUGUCCCUGUACUUCCUACAAACCCUAUCUAGAGUCCUGCACUAGUCACACUCCUUAUAUGCUGUACUUGAGGCCAGGUUUUAAAGUAAUUGCUUUGUUUUAUGUGUUUUAUGGUGUUGUAUAUUAAUUUUGUUUAUAUUGUUUUAAUUCAAUUCAUGUACUGUGUUUUAAAGCUAUGUUAUAUGUUGGCUUGUCUCCAUGUGAGCCGCCCUGAGUUCCUCCAGGGAGAUGGUGGCAGGAUAUAAGAAGUUGUUGUUGUUGUUGUUGUUGCCCCAGUUCCUUCCUCACAGACUUCAAAAUUAAUUUUUUGGAAUACGUAAUAAAUAAAUCUUACUCAUUGUAUUCAAACCAGGGUGCUUUAACAAUUAAUGUUAUGUGCUUCUGUUAUCACAAAGAGUAAACUAUUAUAAGCACAUUGUUCCUUCUCAUGCAUUAUAUUCAAGUUCUUUUUAAGAAACUAUUGCAACUUCUGGAUGGCUGAUCUGCAAAACAGUUGCCACAUGUGACAUUUGCAGAUAUUCUGGAUAGGAGCAGCAAGUCUCAGAAGAGCAUCUGGAAGACUUUGAACCACAGACCUAGCACAAUCAUGGAUGUGGAGAUGCUGUCCAAGAACUUGCACAGUGACUUACAGUAGCCUAAGCCUUGAGACAUAGAGCAAACAUUUAUUCAAGACACAGAGCAAAAUAUUGUGCUAAAUCCCCUUUAAUGCCCACUCAGCUAAAGCAUGUGGCAGCAGAUGCUAUGAGGAGAUGACAUCCUUCCUGAAGAAAAUAAAGUAAAAUAACAUUUCCCUGCCUUCUGUUGUUGUGUACCUUCAAGACAUUUCCAACAUAUACUGCUACUGUCAUGGAGACUUCUUAGCAAGAUUUGUUCAGAGAGGAUUUGCCAUUGAUUUCCUGUAAGGCUGAGAGAGUUACUUGCCCAAGUGGAUUUUCCAUGGUGAGUGGAGAAUUUGAACCCUUGUCUCCCAGAAUCUAAGACUCAAACUACUAUAUCAUGCUGGCUAGUUCCCAGUAUGCUUUCUGGGAGAAAACAAUCAGACGUAUAUACAUUGCUCCAAAUGUGGCCUCACCAGAAAUAUGUGUAAGUGUAUUGGGGUGAUGGCAGUUUUAACUCUGACCGUUUAAUAAUUCUUAGCAUGCAAUUCAGAUUAUUUGAGCUAUCACACACUAAAUUGACAUUUUCAUUGAUGUACACACCACCACCACAAAUCUCUCUUUCCUAGGUAGUCAAGUCACUACCAGUACAGAAUCCUCAGAGGGUCAACCAGUAAACCUAUUGUCAAGGAAGUGCAUAUCUACUUCGUUUCAUAGCCACUCUUCCCAUAGCUGUUCUGGGUUUUAUGGGAGUUUUUCUUUUCUUUUUUUUAAUUAAUUUUUAUUGAAGAGUUUUAUAUACAAUAAUUAAAAGGAAAACAGGAAAGAGGGAAGAGGAGGAAAAAAAAAGAAUUGGGAAAGGGUAUAGGGUAAAUUGUUGAUCUUCGAUUCUCCACGCUUCGGAUUGUCAAUUCAUAUCUAAUCUCAUUUCCAAUUCUCCUAGGGUGGGUUUAUUAUGAUACCUAGCAGUUCCAGUCUGGAACUGUUAGACUAUAUUUUAAUUGUCCAGCAUGAGUUUCUUAUAUUUUUUGUAAGGUGACCAGUCUGUGCGCUUAAUUGUCUUUCCCCUGUGUAAUCUAACCAGAAAUGUUAGAGAGUCCAUGUCAUAUAUUUCAUCUAGUUUAUCAAGCCAGUCUUUGGUGUUUGGGAUGUUUUUUAAUUUCCAAUGCCUUGCAAAAAUAAUUCUUGCCGCCGUGCUCAUAUAAGUAAAUAAAAUGUCCUCAUUUCCAUUUAACUUUAUAUCAGUGUCCAGAAUACCCAGAAGGUAGUACUCUGGUUUAAGAGGGAAGGUCCUUUUUAGAAUUUUCUGGGUCUCUGUAUGUAUUGUUUUCCAGAAUUUUUGGGUUUCCUCACACGACCACCAGACAUGGAAGAAGGAUCCCACUUGCUUCGUACAUUUCCAGCACUUAUUUUGCACGUUCGGGUACAUUAUCCCUAAUUUUUCCGGAGUAAUGUACCACCUGUGGAAAAUUUUAUGGGAGUUUUUCUGGUGUUGGACCAGAGAUUUGAAAUCAGGAAAGACCCAAUGUCACUUGUAGUAGUUGAAUGAGGAGCUAGUAAAACUAAGGUCCCCUCUACACUGCCAUAUAAAAUCAGAUUAUCUGCUUUGAACUGGAUUAUAUGGCAGUGUAGACUCACAUAAUCCAGUUCAAAGCAGACAAUGUGGAUUAUCUGUUUUGAUAAUCUGGAUUAUAUGGUAGUGUAGAAGGGGCCUAAGAGUGGAUUUGCCACUCUGCAGCAAUAGAUUUACUCUCUACCCCACCCUCCUGUUAGCAUGUAUAUGAAGUUAGGAGUUUUGUUGAUCUAAAGCGUAUCACUUUACAUUUACAAUACUUACAUCUGUAUACAGAUGACACACUGCUACUUAUUUCCACCUAAAGCCAAAGAAGCUGCCCAGAUCCUAAACCAGUUUCUGGCAGCUGUGAUGGGUUGGAUGAGAGCUAAAAAAUUGAAACAGAAAAGACAGAAGUCCUGGUCGGUCAAAAGGCCAAUUGGGGUAUAGGAUGGCAACCUGUGCUUGACGGGAUAACACUCCCUCUAAGGACAGAGGUCCGCAGCUUGGGGGUCCUCCUGAACUAAACGCUGACCCUUGAACCUCAGGUGUCAGCGGUGACUGGGAGAGCCUUUGCACAGUUAAAACUUGCUCACCACCUGCGUCCGUACCUCAAAAAGCCAGAUCUGGCCACGGUCCAUGCCUUGGUUACAUCUCAGAAGGAUUAUUGCAAUGCGCUUUAUAUGGGGCUGCCUCUGAAGACAGCUCGGAAACUCCAAUUAGUACAAAGAUCUGUGGCCAAGCUGUUAACGGGAGCUAGGGAGUACACCACCACACCCUACUAAAAUAGCUCCAUUGGCUGCCUAUAUGUUUCUAGGCCCAAUUCAAAGUGCAGGUUAUUACCUACAAAGCCCUCCACAGUUCGGGUCCAGUUUAUUUACUCGGCCGUGUCUCCUCCUAUGAACCUGCUCAAGCCUUAAGAUCUGCUGGGGAAGCCCUUCUCUUGGUCCUGCCUUCGUCACAAGCGCAGCUGGUGGGGACAAGGGAAGGGCCGUCCCGGUGGUGGCCCCCCAGCUCAGGAAUGCCUUCCCCAAGGAAACCAGACUAGCCCCACUUUAACUAUUUUCAGGAAAGAACUGAAGACAGGCUUUUGGAAACGACUAACAAUAAUUUUAACCAUUGGAGUUUAAACGGAAUUUUAAUUGACCCUGGUGCUCAAACUAGCAAGAGCAGGUCAUAUUUACUCAUUUUAAUGUUUAUAUGUUUUAUGUACUAAACUUUCACAUAGUUUUAUAUUGAUUGUAACAUUACUGAGUUAUAUUUCAUCUUAUUUAUUAUGACUACUUUUAUUUCUGGUGAUUUAAAUUGUUUGACUUAAGUGUUUUAUUAUUUUUUAUGUUAUUAUGUUAUUGCUUUGUUGAAAGCCGCUCCAAGUCCCUUUGGGUGAUGGGGUGAGAUAUAAAUAAAGCUUCACUUACUUAAUCGA